rnacentral:rRNA from 1 species
GAUGAACGCUGGCGGCGUGCCUAAUACAUGCAAGUCGAGCGAACGGACGAGAAGCUUGCUUCUCUGAUGUUAGCGGCGGACGGGUGAGUAACACGUGGAUAACCUACCUAUAAGACUGGGAUAACUUCGGGAAACCGGAGCUAAUACCGGAUAAUAUUUUGAACCGCAUGGUUCAAAAGUGAAAGACGGUCUUGCUGUCACUUAUAGAUGGAUCCGCGCUGCAUUAGCUAGUUGGUAAGGUAACGGCUUACCAAGGCAACGAUGCAUAGCCGACCUGAGAGGGUGAUCGGCCACACUGGAACUGAGACACGGUCCAGACUCCUACGGGAGGCAGCAGUAGGGAAUCUUCCGCAAUGGGCGAAAGCCUGACGGAGCAACGCCGCGUGAGUGAUGAAGGUCUUCGGAUCGUAAAACUCUGUUAUUAGUGAAGAACAUAUGUGUAAGUAACUGUGCACAUCUCGACGGUACCUAAUCAGAAAGCCACGGCUAACUACGUG